rnacentral:misc_RNA from 1 species
CAAGUUCUCAACCACAUCGGGUUUCGAUGUGGCUUGGAUGGUGGGGGUUCUUUUUUGCAGGCUUUUGUAGUCGGCUCCCCUGAAAUGUAUUAGUGGUAUCUGAGCUACUACAGGUGUGGUAAUUAUCUAUGCCUUGGUAUGCUGCAUAAAACAGAUUGCACCGCUUCUAACACAAUUUUUGAUGA